rnacentral:rRNA from 1 species
AACGAACGCUGGCGGCAUGCCUAACACAUGCAAGUCGAACGAGACCUUCGGGUCUAGUGGCGCACGGGUGCGUAACGCGUGGGAACCUGCCCUUAGGUUCGGAAUAACUCCCCGAAAGGGGUGCUAAUACCGGAUAAUGUCUUCGGACCAAAGAUUUAUCGCCUUUGGAUGGGCCCGCGUUGGAUUAGCUAGUUGGUAGGGUAAAAGCCUACCAAGGCGACGAUCCAUAGCUGGUCUGAGAGGAUGAUCAGCCACACUGGGACUGAGACACGGCCCAGACUCCUACGGGAGGGAGCAGUGGGGAAUAUUGGACAAGGGGCGAAAGCCUGAUCCAGCAAUGCCGCGUGAGUGAUGAAGGCCUUAGGGUUGUAAAGCUCUUUUAACCGGGAUGAUAAUGACAGUACCGGGAGAAUAAGCGCCGGCUAACUCCGUG